rnacentral:rRNA from 1 species
AACGAACGCUGGCGGCAGGCCUAACACAUGCAAGUCGAGCGAAGCCUUCGGGCUUAGCGGCGGACGGGUGAGUAACGCGUGGGAACGUGCCCUUUGGUACAGAAUAGCCCCGGGAAACUGGGAGUAAUACCGUAUGUGGUCGAGAGACGAAAGAUUUAUCGCCAAAGGAUCGGCCCGCGUUGGAUUAGGUAGUUGGUGGGGUAAUGGCCUACCAAGCCGACGAUCCAUAGCUGGUUUGAGAGGAUGAUCAGCCACACUGGGACUGAGACACGGCCCAGACUCCUACGGGAGGCAGCAGUGGGGAAUCUUGGACAAUGGGGGAAACCCUGAUCUAGCCAUGCCGCGUGAUCGAUGAAGGCCUUAGGGUUGUAAAGAUCUUUCAGUGGGGAAGAUAAUGACUGUACCCACAGAAGAAGCCCCGGCUAACUCCGUGCCAGCCGCCGCGGUAA